rnacentral:rRNA from 1 species
GACGAACGCUGGCGGCGUGCCUAAUACAUGCAAGUCGAGCGGACUUACAAAAGCUUGCUCUUGUAAGUUAGCGGCGGACGGGUGAGUAACACGUGGGCAACCUGCCCUUGAGACUGGGAUAACUUCGGGAAACCGGAGCUAAUACCGGAUAAUAUAAAGAACCUCAUGGUUCUUUAUUGAAAGAUGGUUUCGGCUAUCACUGAAGGAUGGGCGCGCGGCGCAUUAGCUAGUUGGUGAGGUAACGGCUCACCAAGGCGACGAUGCGAAGCCUACCUGAGUGGGCCGUCGGCCACACUGGCACUAAGACCCGCCCCAGGCUCCUACGGGAGGCAGGAGUAGGUAAGCUUCCACAAUGGACGAAAGUGUGAUUGAGCAACGCCGCGCGAUUGAUGAAGGCCUUCGGGUCGUAAAGCUCUGUUGUUAGGGAAGAACAAGUGCGAGAGUAACUGCUCGCACCUUGACGGUACCUAAACAGAAAGCCACGGCUAACUACGUGCCAGCCGCCGCAGUAAUAC